GGCGGCGUAGCUCAGCGGUAGAGCACACGACUCAUAAUCGUGUUGUCGGUGGUUCGAACCCACCCGCCGCCA
rnacentral:tRNA from 1 species